rnacentral:tRNA from 1 species
AGGACCGUAGUUAAGUAUAACAUUUGGUUUGCAUCCAAAAAGUAUUGAUUUAUCAAUCUGUCUU